UACGAAGGGUGCGAGCGUUAUUCGGGUUUACUGGGCGUAAAGGGUGUGUAGGCGGCAUACUAAGUCAACUGUCAAAGCCCCCAGCCUAACUGGGGAUCGGCGGUAGAUACUGAUAUGCUAGAGGGUGGAAGAGAGAAGUGGAAUUCUUGGAGUAGAGGUAAAAUUCGUAGAUCUCAAGAGGAACACCAAUGGCGAAGGCAGCUUCUUGGUCCACAUCUGACGCUAAAACACGAAAGCGUGGGGAGCAAACAGG
rnacentral:rRNA from 1 species